UUAGUUGUGACCUAGAGGUUAAGGCGAUGGAGUAGAAAUCCAUUGGACAAUGCCCUUGAAGGUUUCAAUCCUGCCAACUGUG
rnacentral:tRNA from 1 species